rnacentral:tRNA from 1 species
GCUAGGUAUAGCUCAAUGGUAGAGUGUUUGCCUAACAUGUGUGAUGCCCUGGGGUCAAUCCCCAGCACUGCA